GUUCUGGGGGGUGAAGAAGGGCAGGAGAAGCUGGAAAAAAGUCAAGAGACACGUGCUGAGGAAAUGCGGUCUGAAAGCAGCGCCGAGGACAUGGAGGGGGAGGAGGAGGAACGUAAAGCCCCCCUGAAGAGAAGGAAGACGAGGAGCAGCGGAGGAGCCUCUCGAGCCAAGAAAGGGUCAGAAAACAGAAGGAGCACAAGAGGGAAAGCGGGUGAACCCGGGUCCUCUGCUGACUGGGAUUCCACUGACAGCGCCUCUUCUGGUGGGACGGUGACCAGCAGGUACGGGGUGGGGAGAGUGAAGCUCUUCCUGAAGGUAACAAAGAACAUGAAGGGGGUGGACAUGGAGGAGUAUUUCUCUGACCUAGAUAAGUUCUCUCGCACUGCUCGGAACGGUGUGAGCAAAAAGGGUAGUGGGAGAUACACCCAGCAGGAAGUCUUCCGGAUGAGGAAGAUCAUCCUGAAGAUAAACAGGGGAAGCGAAGGUGCUUCUGUGGACUGAGAGCGGCGUCCAUCCGGUGGAGGAGGAUCCUGGCCGGCUGACGCAAGAGGAGAUGCUGGUGGGGAAUGACUGAGGAGUGGAGCCAGCAGCCAAAUCGACGGGCAGCUCAAGCUUUUGAAUCUUUCAGCGUUGUCGUGUAUGUGACAUGUUUGUGCGUUUUAAAGAAAAUAAAGGUUUUUCAAAAAUCAAAAAAAAUCUCUCUCUCUCUCUCUCUCUCGGUGCAUGCUGGGAGUGAGUGUGUGUGAGUGUGUGUGAGCGUCCUGAGUGAGCGGUUUUUCUCUCGUUGUUCUUUUUUUCCCUUAGUUAGAUAUAUUAAUUUAAUGUGGUUUAGUGGUUGUUUUUCACUUUAGUUGUGGGGUUAGUUGUUGGGGUUCUUUUCUUUGGUUUUCUUUUCUCCUGCCGGUGUCUCGCCGGUCGGCGUCUCUAGACGCCAUGGUAAAUGGGGACACGUUCUCCCAGCUCACGAGGAAGCACGGCAUUAAGAUCGCCGCGGGCUUCCCGUGCAGCGUGGAGGACAUCGGGUUGGCUGUGGGGGAAGUGGUCGGGCACGGCAGCGUUAAGUCGGCCGCUCGGAUGAACGGGGCCGUGGUCAUUUUCCUGGACCAGGUGGAGAAGGUGAACCGAGUCGUCGAGGCGGGCCUCACGGUGAAUGAAAUGUUUGUGCAGGUGUUGCCACUGACGCAACCGGCCACGAAGGUGGUUCUAUCGAACGUCCCUCCGUUCAUCACCGACGAAUUUCUCAGCAGAGAACUCUCCAGACACGGAAAGGUGGUCUCACCGAUCAAAAAGAUCUUGUCUGGAUGCAGGUCUCAGUUACUGAAGCACGUAGUGUCUCACCGCAGACACCUGUAUAUGAUACUUAACAACCGGAAUGUGGAGCUCAACCUCCGCUUCCAUGUUAAGAUAGAUGAUUAUGAGUACGUGAUUUUUGCAUCAUCGUCGGCGAUGAAAUGUUUCGGUUGCGGCGAGGAGGGGCACACCGUGGGUGCCUGCCCGAGGCGCGGGGACCCGACUCCGCCUGGCGGGGCUGCGGCGGGGGAUCCUCCGGCCGUGGUUUUGGCGGGGGGGUCCCCGGCCGCGGCUGCGGCGGGGGGGUCUCCGGCCGCGGUUCUUGCGGGGGGGUCUCCGGCCGCGGCUGCGGCGGGGGAACCUCCGGCCGCGGUUUUGGCGGGGGGGUCUCCGGCCGCGCCUGCGGCGGGGGAGCCUCCGGCCGCGGCUCUUGCGGGGGGGUCUCCGGCCGCGGCUGCGGCGGGGGAGCCUCCGGCCGCGGCGCUUGCGGGGGAGUCUCCAGCCGCGGAGGUGGCUGCGGCGUCCGUGAGGCCGUUUCCGGUUCCGCGGGCCGCGGGCCGUUGCGCUGCUGUGCCUGACCUACACGGGGUGAGUAUGGAAGAUGUGCACAGUGUAAAUGAGGGUGUUUUGGUGGGUGAGAGAGGAGCUUUGGGUGAGGUGGCACAGGGUGAGGAUGGAGGGGAAGGAAAGGAAAAGGGUGAGGGGGGGGUUAGUGUGGAACAGGAGUCAGGUGCCAGAGAGGCACAGUUGGGGGGAGGACUGAAUGGGGGGGUGGAACAGGCAGAGGAGGUUAAGAUGGUGGAGGAGGAAGCAGGAGAGCAAAAAGCUGCAACAAAAAGAAGAAAAAAGAGGCAAGAUACAGGCAGCGAGGCAAAAGCCAGCAAGGUGGGGGAGGAAGAGGAGGCCAUGGGGGGUCAGGGGCCAUCUGAGGGCAGUGAGAGUGAGGGCUGUGUGUCGGACAGCAGCGACAGCCACAGCGCCUGUCUGACACACAGCCAGCGGGAAAAGCUCUACUCCGCAGAGCAAAUCAAAAUGUUUUUACAAAAAGUCAAAAAUAGGAGAAAUCUAAAAAUCGAGGAGUUUUUCCAGACCUGGUGUGUUUUUAUAACUCAGCCAGACUCCGCAUGAGCCAGCGAGAGGAGUCUGGCUUCACAGAUCAAGAGGGUUUUAGACUAAAAAAACUUGUGCUAAAAGCAAAACGAGCAAUCGAUGAUCACGAGAAAAGCCCCAAUGUGUGUUUUAAUUGAUUUAUUGGUUUUAUUUUUAUUUAUUUUUAUCAUGGAUACUUUAAAAGUGGGAAGCCUGAAUGUGAACGGAGCCAGAGAUGCCAAGAAGAGGGCAUCUAUUUAUGAAUUUAAAAAAAUGAAACGUCUUGAUGUUCUCUUCGUGCAAGAGACGCACAGCGACAGCACCAACGAGGCCGACUGGAGGAGGGAAGUCCUGCUGAGCCACAACACCAACCUCAGUGGAGGAGUGGGCUUCCUCUUCUCCAGGUCUUUUAAUCCACUGUCACUGGAGGUCAAACACAUCAUCGAGGGGAGGUUGUUCUUAGUCAAGGCACGUUUGACCUUUUUACUGUUGUUUUUAUCAAUGUGUAUGCCCCAACAAUCGGUGCAGAGAGGAAUCUGCUUUUACAAAAAAUUGAUAUGUUUCAAAUGGCUGUGCCCCGGAGGAUUUUUUGUUUUUGGGGGGGGAUUUUAACUGUACGGAAAAUGACUUGAAAGACCGUAAUCACGCAGAGCCACAUCCAGCUUCCCAGCGCGCUCUGAGGCAGCUGUUCCAGUCUCAUGGCCUGGUGGAUGUGUGGAGAAGGAUGCAUGCAGACUGCCGACAGUACACGUGGUCCCUUUUUAGAGAAGGUAGAAUCUCCUCAGCCAGGUUAGAUCGUUUUUUAUGUUUUUAAGCAACAUUUUAAUGUUUUUAAGAUGUGCAGUAUUGUCCCUGCUGUUUUUAAUGAUCAUUCUUUGUUUUUAUGUAAUGUUUUUAUUGGAAACGUUUUACCUAGAAGUGCAUAUUGGCAUUUUAACUCAGUACUAACUUGUGAUAAGAACUUUAGAGAGGUUUUUGUAUACUUCUGGGGUGUUUUUAGGCUGAGGAGGAGCGAGUUUAGUAGUCUUAGGCAGUGGUGGGACCGCGGGAAGAUUGAGGUUGGGCUCCUCUAUCAACAGCACACCUUCAACGUCACCAGAGACAUCGCUAGAUCUAUGAAGGACCUGGAAACUGAGAUAGUGGAACUAGAACAACAUUAAGCGAGUCCACAGGAGAUCGAGGACAUUUUGAAGUCCUCAAAGGAAAAAAAA
ensembl:lncRNA